rnacentral:rRNA from 1 species
UACGUAGGGUGCGAGCGUUGUCCGGAAUUAUUGGGCGUAAAGGGCUCGUAGGCGGUUUGUCGCGUCGGGAGUGAAAUCCACUGGCUUAACUGGUGGCUUGCUUUCGAUACGGGCAGACUGGAGGUAUGCAGGGGAGAACGGAAUUCCUGGUGUAGCGGUGAAAUGCGCAGAUAUCAGGAAGAACACCAAUGGCGAAGGCAGCUCUCUGGGACGGUACUGACGCUGAGACGCGAAAGCGUGGGGAGCGAACAGG